rnacentral:rRNA from 1 species
AUUGAACGCUGGCGGCAUGCCUUACACAUGCAAGUCGAACGGCAGCACGGGAGCAAUCCUGGUGGCGAGUGGCGAACGGGUGAGUAAAGUAUCGGAACGUGCCCAGUCGUGGGGGAUAACGUAGGGAAAGUUACGCUAAUACCGAAAACGAUCAAGGGAUGAAAGCGGGGGAUCGAAAGACCUCGCGCGAUUGGAGCGGCCGAUAUCGGAUUAGGUGGUUGGUGGGGUAAAGGCUCACCAAGCCGACGAUCUGUAGCUGGUCUGAGAGGACGACCAGCCACACUGGGACUGAGACACGGCCCAGACUCCUACGGGAGGCAGCAGUGGGGAAUUUUGGACAAUGGGCGAAAGCCUGAUCCAGCCAUGCCGCGUGCAGGAUGAAGGCCUUCGGGUUGUAAACUGCUUUUGUACGGAACGAAAAGGUUUGGCCUAAUAAGCUGAGCUCAUGACGGUACCGUAAGAAUAAGCACCGGCUAACUACGUGCCAGCCGCCGCCGUAA